ensembl:lncRNA
CGCUCUAAAGACAGUGGAGAUGGUUGUUCUGACUGCACCACGACACCAGAUGGUCAGACUCCACCUGUAGGCGGACUCGUCCCCACCAGAGAUCAGUCCAAUGAGGGUGGUGUCAUCCGCAAACUUCAGGAGCUUGACGGACUGGUGACUGGAGGUGCAGCUGUUGGUGUACAGGGAGAAGAGCUGGGGGAGUCCAGAUCCUGGAGGAUGUAGUGGAGGGCCGUGUUGACAGCAUCGCCUACAGACCUGUUGGCUCUGUAGGCGAACUGCAAGGGGUCCAGGAGGGGGUCGGUGAGGGUUUUUAGGUGGGACCCAACUAAGUGGUUUUCCACGCCGGCUCGCUUCCCUCUCCGCCAGCAUUUCACUGCGUGAGUAAAGCUGAGUGCACCUUAGAGGAGAAUUCCCAGUAAUUCAACAGAAAAACAAAGAAAAGUUGGAAGUUCCCCCAAUGUUCAUGAGCUAAUCUCUAGUGAAAGUGCUAUAUAUAUAUUCUGUAUGUAUGUGUGUAUGUAUAUAUGUAUGUAUGUAUGUAUGUAUGUAUAUAUGUAUGUAUAAUAUGUGUUUCAGCUGCAGAAGGAGCUCAUCCAGAAGGAGAAGGAGCUGCAGAGGAGAGCGGUGGAGGAGGAGCUGAGGGAGGAGCUGAGGGAGGCUCGAAGCUGGGAGAGACCUGCAGAGACCUCCUUCCACCAUUUAGGAGCAGGACAGCAAAGAGUGGAGAUCUAGUCGAGUGUUUUGCUCUCAGUGAGGAGGAACAAGCAGUUUAUCACAUGCAGAGCUGAGAGGUCAGAGGUCGGGAUGUCGGGUUGGACCAGGUCCUGGAUGGAAGCUGGACCCCAUCCAUUCACAGCACGGUACGUGAGCACCAUGUUUAGAACUGGAUGAGCCACCGGUACCAGUGAAGAGAGCGGAGGAGCAUUACAUGUUUAGUGUUUACUGUAAUCUGUCACAUAAACAUCAAAACAUGAAUCCUGAUUCCUUUGCUGCUGAGGAGGAACUUUUUUGAUCAUCUUGGGGGAUUAAUGACGACCAACAUGUUAAUACAAAGUUCAUUU